GCCUUCCUGAACAACAUCAGAGGCAGCAGCAUGACAAGAGCAAAUGACAGUGGGAUGUGCGGCGUCUCAAGGUUCAGGGCAAGUAAGGAGACAUCAAAAAAAUCAUCCUCCAAAAUAGAUGAAGAGGGGAUUCAAGUGGCAGUCUGCAGACAUGGGAUAUUGCUAAGAGGACUGAACCACUACCAUGGUGAGGUAUUUGCCUACCCAAUGUUUUUGCAGAGGGAAUUGU